rnacentral:tRNA from 1 species
GGCUUGUGGCUCAGUGGUAGAGUGCUUGCCUAGGAUGUGCGAAGUGCUGGGUUCAAUCCUCAGCACCA